UUCCCAGACUCCUACGGGAGGCAGCAGUGGGGAAUAUUGGGCAAUGGGCGCAAGCCUGACCCAGCAAUGCCGCGUGAAGGAAGAAGGCUUUCGGGUUGUAAACUUCUUUGACAGGGGAAGAGCAGAAGACGGUACCCUGAAAACAAGCCACGGCUAACUACGUGCCAGCAGCCGCGGUAAUACGUAGGUGGCAAGCGUUGUCCGGAUUUACUGGGUGUAAAGGGCGUGUAGCCGGGAAGGCAAGUCAGAUGUGAAAUCUGGAGGCUCAACCUCCAAAUUGCAUUUGAAACUGUUUUUCUUGAGUACUGGAGAGGCAGACGGAAUUCCUUGUGUAGCGGUGAAAUGCGUAGAUAUUAGGAGGAACACCAGUGGCGAAGGCGACUUUCUGGACUGUACCUGACGCUGAGGCGCGAAAGCGUGGGUAGCGAACGGGAUUAGAUACCCCGGUA
rnacentral:rRNA from 1 species